rnacentral:rRNA from 1 species
UACGUAGGGUGCGAGCGUUGUCCGGAAUUAUUGGGCGUAAAGGGCUUGUAGGUGGCGUGUCGCGUCUGUCGUGAAAUUCACUGGCUUAACUAGUGAAGUGCGGUGGGUACGGGCAUGCUUGAGUGUGGUAGGGGAGAUUGGAAUUCCUGGUGUAGCGGUGGAAUGCGCAGAUAUCAGGAAGAACACCGGUGGCGAAGGCGGAUCUCUGGGCCAUUACUGACGCUGAGGAGCGAAAGCGUGGGGAGCGAACAGGAUUAGAUACCCUGGUAGUCCACGCUGUAAACGUUGGGCACUAGGUGUGGGGGCUGUUGUGGCUUCUGCGCCGUAGCUAACGCAAUAAGUGCCCCGCCUGGGGAGUACGGCCGCAAGGCUAAA